UGGGGAAUUUUGGACAAUGGGCGAAAGCCUGAUCCAGCAAUGCCGCGUGUGUGAAGAAGGCCUUCGGGUUGUAAAGCACUUUUGUCCGGAAAGAAAUCCUUGGCUCUAAUACAGUCGGGGGAUGACGGUACCGGAAGAAUAAGCACCGGCUAACUACGUGCCAGCAGCCGCGGUAAUACGUAGGGUGCAAGCGUUAAUCGGAAUUACUGGGCGUAAAGCGUGCGCAGGCGGUUUGCUAAGACCGAUGUGAAAUCCCCGGGCUCAACCUGGGAACUGCAUUGAUGACUGGCAGGCUAGAGUAUGGCAGAGGGGGGUAGAAUUCCACGUGUAGCAGUGAAAUGCGUAGAGAUGUGGAGGAAUACCGAUGGCGAAGGCAGCCCCCUGGGCCAAUACUGACGCUCAUGCACGAAAGCGUGGGGAGCAAACAGGAUUAGAUACCCUGGUAGUCCACGCCCUAAACGAUGUCAACUAGUUGUUGGGGAUUCAUUUCCUAGUAACGUAGCUAACGCGUGAAGUUGACCGCCUGGGGAGUACGGUCGCAAGAUUAAAACUCAAAGGAAUUG
rnacentral:rRNA from 1 species